AUGCGCUUGUCUUUCAAUUUAUGUUGGGUGGUCGGUUACUUCGUUGAAUGUAACCAUAGGCCAGCCUCUGAUUUAUGUGCUCAUCGAAUUGUUCUGCCUGAUGCUUCGGUGAGGCGUUCGACGAUUACCGAACUAAGAGAUCACGGCUUCCUUUCCUUUUUGAAGUGGUUAUCUACCUCAAGGAGAUCUGAGGUGCUUUUGUGGUGA